rnacentral:rRNA from 1 species
AUUGAACGCUGGCGGCAGGCCUAACACAUGCAAGUCGAGCGAGCGGCGGACGGGUGAGUAAUGUCUGGGAAACUGCCUGAUGGCGGGGGAUAACUACUGGAAACGGUAGCUACUACCGCAUACCAUCAAAUGUGCUCAGAGGGGAUUAUCUAGUGGGUGGGGUAACGGGUGACCUAGGCGACGAUCCCUAGCUGGGCUGAGAGGAUGACCAGCCACACUGGAAAUGAGACACGGUCCAGACGCCUACGGGAGGCAGCAGUGGGGAAUUGUGCACAAAGGGCGCAAGCCUGAUGCGGCCAUGCCGCGUGUGUGAAGAAGGCCUUCGGGUUGUAAAGCACUUUCAGCGGGGAGGCGUUACCCGCAGAAGAAGCACCGGCUAACUCCGUGCCAGCAGCCGCGGUAAUUC